rnacentral:tRNA from 1 species
CGGGGUUUAGCGCAGUUGGCUAGCGCGUUCGGUUUGGGACCGAGAGGUCACAGGUUCGAGUCCUGUAACCCCGACCA